GGGGCCGCUCCCGGCGCCUCCUCCCGGGCCCCGCCGCGCCCCGCGCCCGCUGCUCAACGGCAUCGCCGCCUCCUCCCGCCCGGGUUACGGCCGGCACUCGCGGUGUCAAGCGAGAUAAAACUAAUCCAGAACUGACAGUCCUCACCCUCGUCAUCUUUUUUUUUUUUUCUUUUCUUUUCUAUUUUUUUUUUUUCCUCCUUUCGUGUCAGAAAGCGGGCAGGGGAAGCAGUGCGCAGCCCCGGGGAGGGAGGCAGGCGCUGAGCUGAGCGUUGCACAAUAGCUCUCCACGCACCCAUCACCCAACGCCUCUCGUCGGGGCUGCGGGGUGGAGGUCACCUCACCCCCUCCCUUCGCUGCGACCUCUCCCCGAGCCGAGAGCCGGCAGCUCCCGUCCCCCUGCAGCCCGCUUGCUGGAAGAGCAGAUCCCAAAGUUAGCGCGGACGUCGCGGGAAGGCCGAGGGGAGCCCCUCCGUGUCUCGUGGGGUGCGGGGGGCACGGGGAGCCGGGGAAUAACGGGGAGGAGAGGGAAGGCGGCGCGGUGCUAUAAACGCUUCCUACCGGCUGCCGCGGGGCUCGCUGCGAACAUCCCUCCCCGCGGAGCUGCGCUUUCCAGCUACGAAUAACGCCUGGCGAGGGAGGGAGAGGGCACCCGGCCACUGCUGCGUUGCUGGGGCUGAGAUUGUUAACGAUAUUUUCAGCUCAGAGGGAAAAGAGGCACCCGCCCUGACCUUAGGUAAUUGAAAUUUGAUGGUUAAACUAAUUACGCUCUUAUUCUAAGGGGAAAAAAAUACUAUCGAACGCCAUUUGCUCGUGCAGAUUGGAAGUUAGAAGCGAACUUUUCCGAUUUUUUUUUUUUCCUUUACGUGAGAGCGUAUACAGCCACAGAAAUAUUUACCGCAUCUUUUGAGAGUAUAAUCGCGGAGUGGGUAAUCUCACCCUCCCGUGUGGGAAAAUACAUCUAAUAUACCAGGCGUAAGUACGACGCGCUUUAGAUCUCGCCCUCCUAAAGAUACGACACUAACAGUUACUCUGCUUAAAAUUCGGAUUAUUGUCCUCAGCCGUUUUAUAGAUAAUGGGCACGUGGAAUAAAAUUCCAUUUGGAGAUCUAUUCUACCCAAGUAGGCGCACGGAGUAUCGAUCUGUGUUUGACACACACGGACACACGCACACUGCAGGCGGUUCGUAAGAUGUUCGAACAUUGCCAGCACUUGGGCAUACUGAGCUACUUAUCUAAACAAUCACUCAUUUCCUGCUCAUAUCGAAUGGCUAAUUUGUAAAGAGAGUUAAAACACGUUUACUUACUCGUUUCCAACAGAACAUCUAUGGAACUCUUUAACUGGGGUAAUAGAUAAGUUCCUCUAUUUACUCUGCGUGGAGAGGAAAUGCGGUUACACACACGCACACAGACUCAGCAGCACGCUUUGGACAGAAAAGGGGAGAUUGCUUUAUUAAAAAACAAUAACAACAACACGGCAACCCAGAUUGGAAAAUUAGAGCUUCCACCUGCAUUACCUUAAAAAAAAAAUAAUAUAAAAAAAAAAAAAGCGAGAAAGAAAGAAAGAAAGAAAGGAAAGAUUGCCAAAGCCCAAAGCACGUUCCCGGCGCAGAGCCUCACGCACGCACAAAUACCUGCUGGCCGCCACCAGAUGCGUUGCCCUGCGGUACCGGGCACGUUAUCCUCGGCAUAAGGCAAGUCCGGAGGCUCUAUGGCUGGCUCGGAACAGCAGGCUCCGUGCUCCCGAGGCACGAGCAAACACAACGAAAACCGCUGUCCCGAUUUGUAGGCUCAGCUCUGCGCCGGCGAGCCGAGAGGGUUCUGCUUCCUAUUAUUGACCGCGAUUAGAUCUCGGAGAACGCUCUUUUCGCUGCACCUCUCUACUGUGCGGCUCUGGCGCCGGGUUGGACGGAGAAGGAUGCGGUGCUGUGCGCGGCCGUAAAUCUGCAAGGUGACCCGAGGUGCCGGGCUCAGCCUGUUUCUGCGGGGUUCUAUCAGGCUGCGGAGAUGUGCUGAGGCAGGACCUCCAAAAGGCCUGUUCCAUGUCUUUGUGGUUUUGUUAUCAUAAACAAGAACCCAGCCAAGACCACCAAGUGUUAUCUUGCACACGGCCAUUUCGACAUUUUACUGCAAGAUUUAUGGCUGUAAUAAACAAUCUCUGAAACCCUUCUUUUUUUUUUCCUUUCUCCCCGGUACUUCCCUUUGCAAACUUGUAGCAUCAUCCUAACCUCACAAAGAAAGAAAAGGAGAGGGAAAAUAGGCCGGGUCCCUUAUUCUUACAGAGGGGCUGGGGGCUCUGUUAGCUACGGAAGGAGCCUUUAAUGAGCGGCGUUGGAGCCGGGGGCUCCCGGCCGAGGAGGAGACGGGGACCGCACUGGAAUUAAGUUGAGAGCGAGAGAGUUAAUUGCCGUGCCCCAAGGAGAGCAGCUUCACGCAUACGCAAAGAGGGGGUGAGGGGGUCCCCCUUUUUCUCGAGAAGCAUGCAAACACCGCGUUCCCCUCCGCGCCCGCGGCUCAACCGUCCGGAUGACAAAAGAGAAGAUAAGAACGAGGAGAGUCAUAAUAAUAACAACAACAAUGGUAGUAAUAAUAGAAGACAACCUUUCGCCGUGCCCGGGCACCCACCACAGAGAGGGGCAGGAGGAGGAAGGAUCGCACCCGCAGCCUGGGUUGAAUUUGAUUUGAACCAUUUUGAAUAUAUUUAGCCCCAGCUUUCCCCUCUUGAAUGCGAGGCUGUCCCGAGUUUCAAAGUGACCGAAAAGUGACACCGUGUGCAUUUUGUUUCUUAUUAAUCUUACACAUUGACAGUCUUUGUUAAAUAACAAGGCGUGCCCUUCACCAGGCGACAUUUUCAUAUUUGUUAGACGCGGUGACCUGAAGUUCACCUCGGCCUUGGACUUAGUUUUUCUAAAAGGUCUAUAAGAGUGCCUUUUAGAUAGCGGGGUGCUUUGCCCAGGUCACCACUUCUAAGGGAAAAUUAAGACAAAAAUCGCGGGAAAAUGUAAACGUUAUGGAAUGUACCCACUGUAUUCCCCCCUUUGUUCCCGGCAAUGGCAGAGCCCCGGGGCAGCCACCGCCUUCCGCGGGGGCGCAGCGCGCUCCGCGCUGGGGGGACGCGCCCGUUGGGCCCCCAAGUUCAGCGCUGUGGAGAAGCGGGGACUCCCCCGGCAGAGGCUCUGCUCCCAGCGACGCCGUGUUUGGCGGCCGUGCUCGCUCUGUCCUGCCGUGGUUAAAUAAACACACGUAAAACGUGGUUUGCGCCCGGAUUUUAAAUGAAUGGUCUUUGGGCCACAGCUUCCACGCCGGAGAGCAGCGCGCUGAAAGCGAAGAGCCAAAGGGAAGAAAGGGCUCGCCUCAAAUAAUUCAUCCCUCCCCCCCCCGUCUUAUUGUUUUCAUUUUAAGGGAAUCAUUUAAACACCAAUUCGAAAGAUUCGGUAUUUCCCGAAGCCGAAGUUUGAAAAUAUUCUCGCUGAUAUUUUGAUCCUAGGCUAGACUGAAAAAUACGGAACCCGAGCGACGAAUUGUUUUGGUAAGGAAGCAAAUGGAUUUCCGUCACCUACUCCUGAGUAACCCAGUUAGAGUAGCAGCUUUCGUUCUGGGUGUAUCAAAGACGCAUUGUUGUUCUUGGAAACAAUCUGCCCGCUAUUCUUUAACAAAAUAGAUAUUCGGCCACGGCUUUUAGCUUGUUAUCAGGCUUCGCUCUUACACCAAAUAAAUACUCUAGAUGUGAAAGGUUAAACAAUAUCUGCGGGGAGGGAAGGGUCUCCAAACGGGCAGUGCCAGGGCUGGCUGCGAGGGAGCAGCAGCAGGAGCUCGGGAACCGCGUCCCCACGCCGAGCAAACGCUCGCACACCUUGCUGAGCUCCAGCAGGUAGAGCGGGCGAAGCCUCCAGCAAUAACUCGGGGCUGACCUGAAGUCUCACACCACGCGCAUGUGUUCCCAAGAAAUAUCGCCCGGCUGCCACGAUCCAGCCGUGUCCCUGGCAAAUAAUUCACGCGUAGCCCGUGCGUGGAGGACGGCACAGGCUCUCGCCUUCGGGCUCGAAAGGCAGCUAUGCACGGAUGGUGGUGAGCUGGGAAGAGGAGGCAAACCAACCCUCGCCUCUCCCCAUCCCUCUGGGAAACGACGGGUAAUUCCAGAAGGCUCGGAGCUCCAUCCAAAUCUCGCUGGCAGCCAGCACCCGUAUUCCAGCGGUAGCAAAAGGCGGCCCCGCAGCCCCGCGCCGUCACCGCUCUCCUCCGGCCGGGAAGGUUCCGCACAGCCCUCCCGCACCGGCAACAGCCGCCCCCCGCCCCGGUUAAGAGCGGUUCGGUGGGCGCUACAGAAACGAGAGCCAAAAACAAAGCCGCGGCCGGGAUCGAUACGCGCGUUAAUUGCUCCGCUCCUAUCUUAUCUCCCCGCCGUUUGGCAAAGUGAGGAGGCUUAACGUUAAACCUCUUAAAGCGGGUUACGAUCUAAUAAACAAGGGGAAACGUUUCGCUCCCCGGCCCCGGGAGGCAGCGGCAGCUCUGGGGUGGGGGGACACGCGUGUUUACCUGCCGCGCUGAGCCCGAGAUAUUCAGACACAAAUGUGGCCGAUAAUUCAAGAUGAAAUACAACGUGUAUUACUCUUGAAAAGAGGAAUUUUCUAUCCUUUCCUCGGUAAUUGAGGUCAUUCAGCCAGUAGGGUUCACCUGGAGUCCAUACUGUGAUACACACGUAACUCAAAGCUAUUUUAUCUUUUGUGCUGAUAGUCAAGAUCUCGGCUAUAACAUUGACAUCAAACUCUGUCUGGACGAAUGACUAAGAGUGGUGCAAAACGUAAACUUUUGACCCUCAACUUUUUGACCUGCAGUUGUAACGCCCUUAACCACAAAGAUAUACAAAAGCUAUGCAGCUUCUUUUAGGACUAAGAGACUCGCAGUGUUUGUUUCAAUAGUUCUGCCGUUUCCCCCCAGCUUUCUAAGGGCUUUUUUUUUUUUAAUCUCCUUUUCGCUGUUGAGAAAUCGGAUACUUUUGCAUUUUUAAUUAUUGCUCUUUUUGUUGUUGUUUUUGGUCUUUUUUUUUUUUUUUUUUCCUUCUUCUUCUUUAAUCUGGCAGCUUUGCAAAGUGCUGUUAAAUCAGUUUGCACAGCCUUUCGGCAGCGUUGGAGGGAAGCCUGUACUCAAAGGCGCUAUUUGGUUACAAUUGCAGGUGAAAUGCUGGGUUCUGGCUCGCAGGAGCCCCUGCGACUUUGACAGCUGUCGCUUUGGCUGCACAGGAGACGAAUCGCCCUCCUUUUGGUGCCAGAAGAAGCAGGAAAUUAGCCAGGUUGCAAGUUGAAAAUCUGCCACGCCAGUGCUUUGAAUCCAAUAUGCCACACCUUCCAGCGGGGGAACUGGAAAUUGCCAUCCCGGAUCUGUGUUCUAGGCGGCUGCUUAUGCCGAACCUCCGCACACUUUGUUCACUAUAGCCUUACAAAGAGCAAAUGAAAUGGGGAUUGAAAGCCAGAGAGAUCCGAAGCAGGACAGAGCUCAGCAAAAGAAUGCGGCUCUAUUCUCGCAAGGGAAAUUAUAAAAAAGUUCAUGUUCACGGUUACCAUCCACAUGACCGACGACGACCAAUGGAAAAACCGAACAACUCAUAAAGUUGUAUUGCAAAGUUGUAAAUUUUCAUAAACAACAACGGAUUUAUGGCCUUUUCCUCAUCACUAAGAAGAGGCAGGUCUUAGAGAGGCGCCAUCUUACCACAGAGGCAGCCCCGGAGUUUUUUUUUUUUUCCAGCAGACCUGAAGUUCGCACUAAUUUUAUUAAGAUUGCAAUUAGUCCAUCGGCGGGGACCGAGCGCGGCGGUGAAGGGGAACUUCAGCUCAGACGACGCUCCCGUUCUACUCCGCGUUCGGCCGCCCGAAUAAAGGCGCUUUUCGUGUUUUUUUAUUUUUUUUAAUUAUUUUAUAUUUUUUUAAUUUUAAAUUUUUCACUUUUCAUUCCCGACCUUUUUUUCCCCCCAUCACUGAAAACACUUUCUCGCCUCGACGUCGAGUGGUACGCAGCAGAACGGAUAGCUUUCCCGAAGCGGGGUUGUUUUUCCCCCCCUUUUUUUUCUUUUUAGCCCCAUUCCCGUGCCCCCCCGGCCUCGGAAAGCCGCCCGUCCUCAGCCGAGCGUUCACCCCGGGAAGUUUCGCCCCUCACUUUUUGCUCUUUCCCAUAUCUGGUUUCCCUACGUGCGAAUGGGGCUCCGUCACGGCCGCCUGGGCCGGGCUCGGGCUUUCUGGAGGAGCACGGUGGAAGGAAGCCCUGCCAUAAAGAAGCUUUCCGCUUUAUUAAUCAACCGCGCCGGGAGAAAUAAAGAUAUUAAUUUAGGAAAAAAAAAAAAAGAAAAAAAAAAAGAAAGAAAAACCACGAAGUCCAGAUAGAGAAAUUGACUGAUUGCCGCCCAUUCGUCACCUCGGAUUAUUUUAUUCUUUUCGAUCAUGGGGGAAAAAAUAAUAAUAAUAACCAUGUGGUCGAAUUUCUUUAGUGGUGCGUCUUCAUUAUUUUUUACCCUUCCUUCGAACUGCUUCCCUCAUAAUAAAAAAAGGCACAAUUAAUUGUCAACAAGCAUCUUUAUUUUCCGUGUGACAUAGAACACAUUUAUCGUGGGGGAUACUUGAACACGGGAUCACUUCCAAAGAGAGUUCACAGACAUUUUCUUUUUUUUCUCCACUUCCAAUACUUACACGGCAUAUCCAAAUGUUCACAACGAACACAUCGAAACACAUCGUAACAUACAGUUGUUUGAAUAAACUUUAGCCAAACCUU